rnacentral:rRNA from 1 species
CGCGUGAAGGAUGACUGUCUUAUGGAUUGUAAACUUCUUUUAUACGGGAAUAACAAGAGCCACGUGUGGCUCCCUGCAUGUACCGUAUGAAUAAGCAUCGGCUAACUCCGUGCCAGCAGCCGCGGUAAUACGGAGGAUGCGAGCGUUAUCCGGAUUUAUUGGGUUUAAAGGGUGCGUAGGCGGCCUGUUAAGUCAGCGGUGAAAUCUAGGAGCUUAACUCCUAAAUUGCCAUUGAUACUGGCGGGCUUGAGUGUAGAUG